AAUUGACAACUCAAUUCUGUAAGGCUCUUGUCGAUGGGAGGAGGCUGACUCCGAGUUUAGGUGUAGGCUGCGGAGGAAACGAGAUGAAAUGAAAGGGCAAGACAACAACGCAUUUAGAAACCUGUGCUGGAAGGUGAAAUA
rnacentral:lncRNA from 13 species